rnacentral:rRNA from 1 species
GAUGAACGCUGGCGGCGUGCCUAAUACAUGCAAGUCGAGCGAACAGACGAGGAGCUUGCUCCUCUGACGUUAGCGGCGGACGGGUGAGUAACACGUGGAUAACCUACCUAUAAGACUGGGAUAACUUCGGGAAACCGGAGCUAAUACCGGAUAAUAUAUUGAACCGCAUGGUUCAAUAGUGAAAGACGGUUUUGCUGUCACUUAUAGAUGGAUCCGCGCUGCAUUAGCUAGUUGGUAAGGUAACGGCUUACCAAGGCAACGAUGCGUAGCCGACCUGAGAGGGUGAUCGGCCACACUGGAACUGAGACACGGUCCAGACUACUACGGGAGGCAGCAGUAGGGAAUCUUCCGCAAUGGGCGAAAGCCUGACGGAGCAACGCCGCGUGAGUGAUGAAGGUCUUCGGAUCGUAAAACUCUGUUAUUAGGGAAGAACAAAUGUGUAAGUAACUAUGCACGUCUUGACGGUACCUAAUCAGAAAGCCACGGCUAACUACGUG